AUCGGCGGCUAUACAUGCAAGUUGAGCGCUGAAGGUUGGUACUUGUACCAACUGGAUGAGCAGCGAACGGGUGAGUAACGCGUGGGGAAUCUGCCUUUGAGCGGGGGACAACAUUUGGAAACGAAUGCUAAUACCGCAUAAAAACUUUAAACACAAGUUUUAAGUUUGAAAGAUGCAAUUGCAUCACUCAAAGAUGAUCCCGCGUUGUAUUAGCUAGUUGGUGAGGUAAAGGCUCACCAAGGCGAUGAUACAUAGCCGACCUGAGAGGGUGAUCGGCCACAUUGGGACUGAGACACGGCCCAAACUCCUACGGGAGGCAGCAGUAGGGAAUCUUCGGCAAUGGACGAAAGUCUGACCGAGCAACGCCGCGUGAGUGAAGAAGGUUUUCGGAUCGUAAAACUCUGUUGGUAGAGAAGAACGUUGGUGAGAGUGGAAAGCUCAUCAAGUGACGGUAACUACCCAGAAAGGGACGGCUAACUACGUGCCAGCAGCCGCGGUAAUACGUAGGUCCCGAGCGUUGUCCGGAUUUAUUGGGCGUAAAGCGAGCGCAGGUGGUUUAUUAAGUCUGGUGUAAAAGGCAGUGGCUCAACCAUUGUAUGCAUUGGAAACUGGUAGACUUGAGUGCAGGAGAGGAGAGUGGAAUUCCAUGUGUAGCGGUGAAAUGCGUAGAUAUAUGGAGGAACACCGGUGGCGAAAGCGGCUCUCUGGCCUGUAACUGACACUGAGGCUCGAAAGCGUGGGGAGCAAACAGGAUUAGAUACCCUGGUAGUCCACGCCGUAAACGAUGAGUGCUAGAUGUAGGGAGCUAUAAGUUCUCUGUAUCGCAGCUAACGCAAUAAGCACUCCGCCUGGGGAGUACGACCGCAAGGUUGAAACUCAG
rnacentral:rRNA from 1 species